rnacentral:lncRNA from 1 species
AUAGAAUAUGUAGAAUUAACUAUGACCAAAAAAAAAAAAAUUCAACUAAACCAAUUAUAGGAUAGUUUGGGGUGGUUGAGCUGUUGUGGGGAGACAUUGAGAUAGAUGUGGAUUCCAUGUGUGUUAAAUUUUGUGUGGAUUGCUUAAGACCAAUGAGAUGAUAAUUAGGUGAAAAUCUUAAGUUAAAGAUCGAUUUUCGAGAAUAAGUGUUUAAUGAGGGGCAUUGCACUAAUCAUUGCAUAGAAGGG